rnacentral:lncRNA from 1 species
UUCAGAACUAUGGUGGCUUGUGAUUGUAUGGCAGAUUGACAUAACGUACCGUCACUCCAAUACAUGCACAAUCCAUGUUGAAACUCUCGUUCUACGUAAGGUCCUACCCGUCUACUAAGAUAGAAAUCGUUACCCGGCCAAAGUUUACGUCAUGAUUGAAAAUUAGUAAACGGCAUGUUUUGAGAUCAAAUUGUUCUGGUGCAUCUCAUGAUUGCUAAGUUGUGAACAUCCAAUCCAAUUUUUCCAAUUGGUCACCAAAAGCCUAACGAUUUAUUGCAUGGUCCAAACUCCAAAGGACUCCAACUAGAAUCUUCUUGCGUUCAUAUCUGCAUGUCAUGGGAAUAGGCUUUUCCACUGUGUUUUCAGAGUACAACUCAGCAGGAAUGAAGGAUGAAGAGCUGACAUACAAAAAAAGAAGAAGUACGUAUUUCAAUUUACAGUGCUAGACCUUUCAAAAAAAAAAAAAAA